CUCUGUUGUGGGUUCAAAUCUCAAUAUUGUGAUUCCUGGCUGGGUGAUCUUGGGCCUUAAUUUCUACAUUUGAGCAUUGGAAAUCACAUUGCAAGGAGAGAACAGACUUGUUUGUCAAGAACAAACACGCAGAGGUGAGAGAUCAGGAAACAGCGGGCCCAGGGAGCCAGGCUCUGCUUUGCUGAACACAGUUGGAAGGAGUGAGUCCAGCAGCCAGUCACCAUGAGGUGUCUCAGUGUCUGAGGAGAAUUUGUGUGAACUGUCAGCUGAAAGCAUCGACAGCUUCCCAUUAGUAAUGAAUUAUGGAAAUAAUUUUAUUAAUUUCUUCACCUCAAUCAGAACAUGUUAGUGAAAGUUGCUCAACCAAACAUCAAAGAACCAUUGCAUUUUAACCUUUUAGUCUUUUACCGUGUAACCAGGAACAGCGAAGAAAUAAAUUAGUGUAGCAUUCCUUUAAAAAAAAAAUGCCUGGAGAUAAGGAGUGGACAUAAUUUUUUCUGUUUUUAAUUUAAUAGCAGGUUUAUGGUUUUAUGCAAAGCCAUUCACAUUACAUUUGACCCUCUGGGAGCUGCUUUUUUUUUUUUUCUGUGGAUAUAAUUUUGAGUCUUUAAUAAUCUGUUGUUAAACCCAGUCUGAGUUUGAUUAAUGAAUUGUGAUGAACCGGUGCAUUAAUUUGCAGGUUUGGUCUAAUGCCCUAAAAGGCUGCUUUGUUGCUGGUUAUUAAUGCUCAACUCUUCAAGAGGAGCCAUGGGAUGGCAGUGUGUCCCAAGUAAUGAACAAGUUACACAUUUGAGCAGUCCCAAUGAUAGAGCUGUAGCUCUAGAAGUGACCAUGGAGCUACAUUAUUGAAAGAAAAAAAUCCUGAUUUAGCUUAAUGCCCUAGAACAGGGGGCCGCAGACCUCCAAAUCUACAGGUCUCUGGAUGGAAUUCAGGGGAAUCUGUGAAUUUCAAUAGGAAAAAAAUCUUUAAUUAAUCUCCAACUGAAAUUUAACAUUGUUCAAUUAUGAAUGUAGGUGACAACCAUAGUAUUCUUAGCUGUAUCUGUGACUUUGUCAUCUCUAGAAAUCACAAAUAUUUCCAGAACAUGUUAUAGAGAUGCAAGUACCUCACUAUGUCAUUUGGGCUUGUCACUACCUCAGAAUUAU
rnacentral:lncRNA from 10 species